UAACGGCGAGUGAAGCGGCAAUAGCUCAAAUUUGAAAGCUGGCCUCUGGUCCGCAUUGUAAUUUGUAGAGGAUGCUUUUAGGCAGCCGCCGGUCUAAGUUCCUUGGAACAGGACGUCAUAGAGGGUGAGAAUCCCGUAUGUGACCGGCUCAGGCACCUUCUGUAAAGCUCCUUCGACGAGUCGAGUUGUUUGGGAAUGCAGCUCUAAAUGGGAGGUAAAUUUCUUCUAAAGCUAAAUACUGGCGAGAGACCGAUAGCGCACAAGUAGAGUGAUCGAAAGAUGAAAAGCACUUUGGAAAGAGAGUUAAAAAGCACGUGAAAUUGUUGAAAGGGAAGCGCUUGCAAUCAGACUUGGCCUAGAGUGUUCAACCGGUCUUCUGACCGGCCUAUUCAUUCUGGGCCAGGCCAGCAUCAGUUUUGGCGGCCGGAUAAAGGCCUUGGGAAUGUGGCUUUCUCUUCGGAGGAAGUGUUAUAGCCCAGGGUGUAAUACGGCCAGCCGGGACUGAGGUCCGCGCUUCGGCUAGGAUGCUGGCGUAAUGGUUGUAAGCGGCCCGUCUUGAAACACGGACCAAGGAGUCUAACAUCUAUGCGAGUGUUAGGGUGUCAAACCCUUACGCGUAAUGAAAGUGAACGGAGGUGGGAACCCGCAAGGGUGCACCAUCGACCGAUCCUGAUGUCUUCGGAUGGAUUUGAGUAAGAGCAUAGCUGUUGGGACCCGAAAGAUGGUGAACUAUGCCUGAAUAGGGUGAAGCCAGAGGAAACUCUGGUGGAGGCUCGCAGCGGUUCUGACGUGCAAAUCGAUCGUCAAAUUUGGGUAUAGGGGCGAAAGACUAAUCGAACCAU
rnacentral:rRNA from 1 species